CGAGACGGUUUUUUUUUUAUAUGAAUUAUUCCAUCUAUUAUUUUUCAAAUAUUCUAUGACUAAAUUCUCCUCCGGCCCUGCCCCCUCUUAAAAAUAAAUUUUCCUACUCCAAAACAUCUUAUUUCCCCUAAUUUUAAUUAUUUCCCCUCAUUUUUGACAGCUAACAAACAUUUUUGUUUAUAAAUAAUAAACAGUGUACAGUGUCAAUUUUAUAAAUGUAAACAUAACUCGUGUUGACAUGUAUUCGAGAGGCGAGUUAUCAUAGGAUAUCUAAAGAUUUUUAGCCGGCUUUCAAGUACUCUUUGGAAAUUAAGCGAUAGUAGUCAAAAAAUUGAUCAAUUAUGUGGUACAUUCCAAUGAUAAUAAGAAAAAAAGAAGCAAAAAGUUAUAGUACAAAAAAAAUGAUUAAAGAUGAAUACAAAAAAGGAGAUAAUUGUGUUAUUAUCGAAGAUGUUAUUAUCAGUGGAAGUAGUAUUUUAGAAAAGACUUAACUCCAGAAGGUUUGAACGUUACUAAAGCAUUAGUAAUUAUAGACCGAGAACAAAGUGGCAAAAAAAAUAUAGAAAAUGCUGGUAUUAAAGUAAGAAGUUUGUAUACUCUUACCAAGUUAAUGAAGUAUCUUUUUGAAGCUGUUAAAAUUACUUUAGAAACGAUUAAAAAUGUUUCUCAAUACAUAAAAGAAUAUUCAGCACCAUUGAUAACAUUGAAUAAAGGUAGCGAGGGCGUAAAAUCGUCUUCGAUAAAAAUGAAAAGUCAAGCCUAGCCUGCAGGAUACUUCUUAUUGUAUCUCUGCAAGAGUGCUUGUGAUACAUUCACUAAUUUUUUAUUGUAACUCAUAAUUAAUAAUGUUUUUUUUAAAUAUAUAGUCAAGCAAGUGAUGAUUGUUUGUUGUAAAUUUUAUAAUUGUUUUAGACAUAAAUCAUAGAGUAUUGUUUUCAUCUAAAAAUAAUUUUUUUUUCAUUUUUUAAAAAAAUCAUUUAAGAAAAGAACAUUCUUUAUAAGACACCUUAAUAAAUAUUUAUUAGAUUAAAUUUGUUGUAGAAUGAUUGCAAAUGAUAUUGGCGUUAAAGAGAUUAAUUGCAUUGACUGCUAUUUAAAAUAUUGUGAACUGAUGCUUGAAUUUGAGCGACAAAGACGAUUAUACAAAAUUGGAAAAUUAAGAUCGAAAGGAAAACUUUUUGAUUAUAUCAUCAAGUUUUACUUAUAAUUUUAAUCCUGAAAAGCAAGUCUUCAAUGUAUAAAUGUCUAGUGAUAGACAUAUAUAUGUUUGCAAUGUCUAGUGAUAAAAAAGAUCCACAAUUACAUAAUUUAUCUCGUUAAAUAUAUUUAUAUUAUAUAUUUAUAUAUAUAAGGAAUUCAGAUAUAAAUUGUAGAGUUCAAAAUUAAUGAAUUGUUAUUGUAAAGACCGUUAACAGUAUAUUAUGCAGU